AACGAACGCUGGCGGCAGGCUUAACACAUGCAAGUCGAACGCAUGCCUUCGGGCAUGAGUGGCAGACGGGUGCGUAACGCGUGGGAACCUACCCCUUGGUACGGGAUAGCUCCGGGAAACUGGAGAUAAUACCGUAUGUGUCCUGAGGGACAAAGAUUCAUCGCCAAGGGAUGGGCCCGCGUCGGAUUAGCUAGUUGGUGGGGUAACGGCCUACCAAGGCGACGAUCCGUAGCUGGUCUAAGAGGAUGAUCAGCCACAUUGGGACUGAGACACGGCCCAAACUCCUACGGGAGGCAGCAGUGGGGAAUAUUGGACAAUGGGCGCAAGCCUGAUCCAGCCAUGCCGCGUGAGUGUUGAAGGCCCUAGGGUUGUAAAGCUCUUUCACCGGUGACGAUAAUGACGGUAACCGGAGAAGAAGCCCCGGCUAACUUCGUG
rnacentral:rRNA from 1 species